CUCUGAAGGAGCUGAUAGCUUUAGAUUGUUUGCUAACUGCACUACCUGAAGUUGUACAGGAAGUCUUUCCUUGAAGACUGAGAGAUGCUUCUCCAAGAUUUUAUUAGAUAAAGGAUGUUAUGUCAAGAGAACUCCUAAGAUCUUGUUUGCAUCUGUGAAAUUCUGAACAAUUGAUAAGAUAAUAUUUCCAGAAGACAUCAAUGACAAUUUAGCUAAGAGAGGAAAGGCCAUGUAAGAACACAGCAAGAAAAUGGUCAAACUAGCAAGAGAGGCCUCACCAGAUACCAACACUGACAGCACUUUGAUCUUGGACUUCUAACCUCCAGAGCUAUUUUGGGCUGGGGCAUCAGCUUCUUCCUGCCUUCCAACUCCAACUGUGGCAUCAGCUCUUCUUGAAUCUCAAGACUGCCAGCCUUCAAACUGAAACUAUACAUUGACUCUCUUGGUUCUCAGGCCUUUGGACUCAGACUGGAACUGUAACUUGGCUUUCCUGGGUCUGCAGUUGAGCUUGCCAACCCAACCUAAAGGUACUGAAACUUCCCAAGCUCCAUAAUUGUGUAAGCCAAUUCCUCAUAAUAAAUAUCUUCCUUGCUCUCUCUCUGUAUAUAUACACACACAUUUUAUCAGUUCUGUUUCUCUGGAAA
rnacentral:lncRNA from 1 species